rnacentral:rRNA from 1 species
CCCUUAGAUGUCCGGGGCUGCACGCGCGCUACACUGAAGGAAUCAGCGUGCUAAAACCAUUGUCGAAAGGCAUUGGUAAACCCAUUAAAAUCCUACGUGAUUGGGAUCGGGAAUUGCAAUUAUUUCCCUUGAACGUGGAAUUCCCAGUAAGUGUGGGUCAUAAGCUCGCGUUGAUUACGUCCCUGCCCUUUGUACACACCGCCCGUCGCUGCCCGGGACUGAGCCGUUUCGAGAAAAGCGGGGACUGCUGCUGUCGGGGCUUUCGGGCCUUGGCUUCGGUGGAAACCGCUUUAAUCGCAGUGGCUUGAACCGGGCAAAAGUCGUAACA